rnacentral:misc_RNA from 1 species
GAUGAAGAACGCAGCGAAAUGCGAUAAGUAAUGUGAAUUGCAGAAUUCAGUGAAUCAUCGAAUCUUUGAACGCACAUUGCGCCCCCUGGCAUUCCGGGGGGCAUGCCUGUCCGAGCGUCAUUACAACCCUCAAGCUCAGCUUGGUAUUGGGCCCCGCCGACCCGGCGGGCCCUAAAGUCAGUGGCGGUGCCGUCCGGCUCCGAGCGUAGUAAUUCUUCUCGCUCUGGAGGUCCGGUCGUGUGCUCGCCAGCAACCCCCAAUUUUUUUCAGGUUGACCUCGGAUCAGGUAGGGAUACCCGCUGAACUUAAGCAUAUCAAUAAGCGGAGGA